rnacentral:rRNA from 1 species
CUAUAAUGCAGUCGAGCGGACAGAUGGGAGCUUGCUCCCUGAUGUUAGCGGCGGACGGGUGAGUAACACGUGGGUAACCUGCCUGUAAGACUGGGAUAACUCCGGGAAACCGGGGCUAAUACCGGAUGGUUGUUUGAACCGCAUGGUUCAAACAUAAAAGGUGGCUUCGGCUACCACUUACAGAUGGACCCGCGGCGCAUUAGCUAGUUGGUGAGGUAACGGCUCACCAAGGCGACGAUGCGUAGCCAACCUGAGAGGGUGAUCGGCCACACUGGGACUGAGACACGGCCCAGACUCCUACGGGAGGCAGCAGUAGGGAAUCUUCCGCAAUGGACGAAAGUCUGACGGAGCAACGCCGCGUGAGUGAUGAAGGUUUUCGGAUCGUAAAGCUCUGUUGUUAGGGAAGAACAAGUACCGUUCGAAUAGGGCGGUACCUUGACGGUACCUAACCAGAAAGCCACGGCUAACUACGUGCCAGCAGCCGCGGUAAUACGUAGGUGGCAAGCGUUGUCCGGAAUUAUUGGGCGUAAAGGGCUCGCAGGCGGUUUCUUAAGUCUGAUGUGAAAGCCCCCGGCUCAACCGGGGAGGGUCAUUGGAAACUGGGGAACUUGAGUGCAGAAGAGGAGAGUGGAAUUCCACGUGUAGCGGUGAAAUGCGUAGAGAUGUGGAGGAACACCAGUGGCGAAAGCGACUCUCUGGUCUGUAACUGACGCUGAUGAGCGAAAGCGUGGGGAGCGAACAGGAUUAGAUACCCUGGUAGUCCACGCCGUAACGAUGAGUGCUAAGUGUUUAAGGGGGUUUCCGCCCCUUAAUGCUGCAGCUAACGCACUAAGCACUCCGCCUGGGGGAGUACAGUCGC